CGCCCGCCGCGCGCGGCGGGCGGGGCGGGGGCACGGGGGGGCGAAGAAGUAUUUCGGUAUGUAAAGCUCUAUCAGCAGGGAAGAAAGACCUCGUAAGAGGGGAUGACGGUACCUGAGUAAGAAGCCCCGGCUAACUACGUGCCAGCAGCCGCGGUAAUACGUAGGGGGCAAGCGUUAUCCGGAUUUACUGGGUGUAAAGGGAGCGUARACGGUGUAUCAAGUCUGAAGUGAAACCCCACGGCUCAACCGUGGGCUUGCUUUGGAAACUGGUARACUAGAGUACUGGAGAGGUAAGCGGAAUUCCUGGUGUAGUAGUGAAAUGCGUAGAUAUCAGGAAGAACAUCAGUGGCGAAGGCGGCUUACUGGACAGCAACUGACGUUGAGGCUCGAAGGCGUGGGGAGCAAACAGGAUUAGAUACCCUGGUAGUCCACGCAGUAAACGAUGAAUACUAGGUGUUGG
rnacentral:rRNA from 1 species